rnacentral:rRNA from 1 species
CCUACGGGAGGCAGCAGUGGGGAAUAUUGCACAAUGGGGGAAACCCUGAUGCAGCGACGCCGCGUGAGUGAAGAAGUACUUCGUUAUGUAAAGCUCUAUCAGCAGGGAAGAAAAUUACGGUACCUGAGUAAGACUCCCCGGCUAACUACGUUCCAGCAGCCGCGGUCAUACGGAGGGGGCAAGCGUUAUCCGGGUUUACUGGGUGUAAAGGGGGCGUAGACGGGAGUGCAAGUCUGGAGUGAAAGGCGGGGGCUCAACCCCCGGACUGCUCUGGAAACUGUACGGCUGGAGUGCAGGAGUGGUAAGUGGAAUUCCUAGUGUAGCGGUGAAAUGCGUAGAUAUUAGGAGGAACACCAGUGGCGAAGGCGGCUUACUGGACUGUAACUGACGUUGAGGCUCGAAAGCGUGGGGAGCAAACAGGAUUAGAUACCCUGGUAGUC